rnacentral:lncRNA from 1 species
UUGCUCAGUGGGUUAAGGAUCUGUGAGCUCUGGAUGAGGUUGCAGACAUGUCUCGGAUCCUGUGUGGCUGUGACCGGGGCGUAGGCCAGCAGGUGUAGCUCUGAUUUGAUCCCUAGCCUAGGAACUUCCCUCUGCUAUGGGUGAGGCCCUCAAAAGUCAAAAUAAAUCCUUUUUUUUUUUUUUUAAAGAUACACCUGCCCUCCUGUUGGUAUUGAGGCAGUGAAGUAAAGACAUUUUGCAUUUUUGCCCAGGGCAUAAGUUAGUAAAUGAAUUUUAUGAGAAGAAUUAUAUCCAUUGAAAUCCUAUCACCAUGUACAAAGGGAUCUGCAGUGUGGCCUUUAUUUGUCGUCAUAUAAAGAAGAGAAAUACCCUCUCCCAGUUAGUUCUUGAACAAGUUGUGGUUCGUGCAAACAAAUAAUGCUCAAAAGAAUGGGAAGAUCCUCUACCAGGAACAGAAAGCACUGUUGCUCCCAGAAAGGCAAAGUGUCAACCUGCACGGGUGUUCUGUGACCUCUGUGUGGAUGGCGAAAGAGGUGGACAGACAGAUGGAUGGACUCAUGCAUAAGUCUUAUCACUGAGGUGUGGCAGGGGUGAGGGAAUGGUAGAGAGACAUUAGGUAUGGACAUGGUUUCAUACAAAAUUAGUGACAGUGGGCCUGUCAAUGGUUUCCCAUUAAAAAAAAAAAAAAAUCCCUGGUGCCUGUUGCCUGAAAGACUGGUUGAGAAGCUGGUUGUACCAUUUAACUGGUUGAUUUUUACAAAGAAGACUCAUUAACAAAUAGCAAAUGAAAAAAAAAAGACUAUGUUAUAUCUUUUACUCUUCUGUUACUAUCACAUAGCAUAGUUCCUGAGACGUAAAGAUGUUGAUUAUCCUGGAUCACAUACAUUGGACCAAACUGACUGGAAGAUAAACUAAUACUAUCUAAUGGAAUAAAUAUGGCACCAGAAGGCAGAAACCACAAGCUUCAUAGAUUUGCCUCAGCUGGGGCUCAUUCAUUCAUUCAAGACUCUUAACCUCUGUCCGCUUUCAUCUGCUAAAGUGUAGAUUAAAGUUAUUGGUUGAAUCUCUAAUAUCACUUUCAGCAUCACUACUUGAUGAUGCAAACUGAUAUGCCUCAUGCUUGACCUUUUAUCUGAAUUUCUAUCAUUUGUAUAAAAAGUGGUGAGCACUCCUGGGCACAGAAGAUCAAUGUGAUUGUUGAUAUCAAUCUUUUGCUCAAACACUAAGGACUGGCUAGGAAAUCUUCCCUUGAAUAUGUGAAUAUUUUCCAAAGCUGUCAGAUCUUCAUAAUUUCUCAAGUUUUUGUCUAUGUGGAAUUCAUGCAAUGAACUGGGGGUUUAUUGAAUUACCUUGAAUACCAAAAGAUUGACAGCACUAGGCCAAUUUGGAAACUGAUUUAUUGGAAUGAUUUCAAAGUGUAAAUGCAUACAAUUAACUUGUAUCAUUAAAAAAUAAUUCCCUUCUCACCUAUUGUACUAAUAAAAAAUGUUGGCUGCCAGGGACCAGCCAUGAAAACAGUGUAAUUUCAGAUGAAUUAAAUAACAACAGUAGCUCUAGCUUUAUGACUCUGAUGUUUACAAAUGAUUGAAUUACCUUUCAACAGUUUUCAUAAAGAGCUACACUAAGUCAUGAAACAAGGACCUUCCCAUUUUCUAAAUUAUGCUGUUUUCUGCAGCUACUUUUGUAAGAGAUAGGCAAUUUUUUGAUACUAGUAGGUAGAGUAAUAAAGCAGUAUAUUUUAGUGUAAAAUAUUCUAUAAAUACAAAUAAUAUCCAAUUUUAUCAACCAGUAUGAAUUUAUAUCAUAAACAUCAGGGUGGUAAGGGCAAGGAAUGUGUCAUUCGAAGGGGUGUCAGGAAACAUAUUAAUUAAAUACUCUUAGAUAAAGGUCAGUGUAUUGGUCCAUGUGCUCUGAAGAGUGACAAGGGCAGUUCGUGUCAUGGUCUUCAAUAAAUUUUUGUGGCAAUUCUGUGUGGACAUGUAAAAGCAUCAAAACACCAUGGAAUUUUCCUAGCUGAAAAAAAAAAUUGCUGUAAUUAUACUCAAAUGACUAUCAAGGGUUUUAAAAUUACUUUCUAUAAAAAAGAUAAAUUGCCUUUGAGCAAAGAAUGUCACUUGUGUAAAUACUAGGUCUUAGAUAUAUUCAGUUUGAGAUUUGAGAAGUGUUUAUUUUUCCAAAUAACAGAAAAUAUGUCUAAGCUUUUGCUUUUGGUGUAAGGCCAAUGUAAAUGUGCCAAGUACGUUAAAAAUGCUUUAAAGCUGGAGUUUCACCAGGAAAACAAAGCACUUGUUCUUAGUGACAGUCUGUUUAACCAAAACCAUGCACCUAUAUGAAACAAGGAAGGCACCUCCUAUUCAUAGGAAUGGUUACUAGUGGAACAGGUGGUCACCCUCACCCUCGUCAUGACUCUGAUGCAGUGUGUUAGUGUCCCCUGCUUCAGGAAAAAAUACCCACAAACAACACAAGUUCCAUUCUUUUUUUUUUUUUUUCUUUGCUUUUUAGGGCUGCACCCACAGCAUAUGGAAGUUCCCAGGCUAGGGGUUGAAUCAGAGAUACAGCUGCUGGCCUAUGCCAAAGCCAUAGCAACAGAGGAGCCAAGCCGUGUCUGUGACCUACACCACAACUCACAGCAACACUGGAUCCUUAACCCACUGAUCAAGGCCAGGGAUUGAACCCACAGACUCAUGGAUCCUAGUUGGGUUCGUUAACCACUGAACCACAAAGGGAACUCCCACAAAUUCUAUUCUUACAGCUGUGGAGGAUAGAAGUCCAAAACAAGUCUUGCUAGGCCAAAGUCAAGUUGUCAUCAGGCUGCAUUCCCUAUAAAGCUCAAGAAAAAUGGUUUCCUUUGCCUUUUCCAGCUCCUAGAGGCUUCUUGUGUUCCUUAGGACAUCUUCUGUCUUCAGCGUGCCUCAAUCACACCCCUGCUGCCAUUGUCUCAUCUCUUUUUUCUGACUUUCAUGCUUGCUUCCCUCUUACAAUGACCCUGUGAUUACGUUGGGCUCACACAGAUAACUACUCUAGGGUAACCUUCCCAUGUCAACAUCCUUAACUCAGUCACAUUUGCAAAAUCCCCUUCAGCUUGGGUAGUAACAUAUGCACGGGUUCUAGGGUUGGGGCAUAAGAUCUUUGAGGGACCAUUUUUCUGUUUUUGCACAGACCCCUUUUGCAUUCUGAUGAAGUUUACAGUUUCCUUCUCAGGAUGUUUUUUCAAGCAUAAAGUGUGCAAUGAAACGAAUUGUAUUAAAAUACAAUAACCACAAUAUUUAAAAAAAAAUGUGUGCUCUAUUAGUGGGAAUGUAAAUUGGUACAACAUCAAUAGAGGACAGUAUGGAGGUUCCUUAGAAAACUAAAUAAAGAACUACCAUAUGAUCUAGCAAUCCCAUUCCUGGGCAUCUAUCCAAACAAACUAUAAUUCAAAAGGAUGCAUUCACCCAUAUGUUAAUUGCAGCACUAUGCGCAAUAGCGAAGACAUGGAAACAACCCAGAUGUUCAUCGACAGAUGAAUGGAUUAAGAAGAUGUGGUAUAUAAAUACUGUGGAAUACUACUCGUCCAUAAAAAGGAAUGAAAUAAUGCAUUUGCAGCAACAUGGAUGAAACUAGAGAUUCUCAUGCUAAGUGAAGUAAGUCAGAAAGACAAAGACAUAUACCAUGUGAUAUCACUUAUAUGUGGAAUCUAAUAAAAAUGAUACAAAAGAACUUAUUUAUAAAACAGAAACAAACAAAAGAACUUAUUUAUAAAACGGAAACAAACACAGAUUUCAAAACCAAUCUUGUAGUUCCCAUCAUGGCUCAGUGGUUAACAAAUCUGACUAGGAAGCAGUCCUAGAAAAGACAAAGAAAGACACACACACACACAAAACAAUCUUAUGGUUACCAUAGGUGAACUAUUGUCGGGAGGGAAGACUUGGGAGGGUAUAUGUACACACUGCUGUAUACAAUAGAUGAUUAAUAAGAACCUACUGCAGAACACAGGAAAAUCUACCCAAUAUUUUUUAAUAACCUAUAUGGAAAAAAAAGAGUGGAUAGAUUUAUAUGUAUGACUCAUUCACUGGGCUAUACACCUGAAAUUAAUAAAACAUUGUAAGCCAACUACACUCAUAAAAUUUUUUAAAAUGCGUGCUAUAGUAAAUUGUGUACAUUUAAAACUAUUGCUUAAAUAACAACUGCAAUGGCUAAUAACUAUAUAACUAAAAAUAUAAUAUUAUGAUAACUAUUAAAAUAAAAUAACAAUAUUUGUAACCACUGUUAUGUAAUACGAAAAUAUCUGAUUUCUACCAUAGUACUACUGUGGUGGUAUUUGUUUUGAUUUUUUCCUAUACAUUAAACAUUGGAGAAAAUGCUAAACUUCAAUAAGAAAUUAAGGCAAAAAAAAUAAUUUUUAUUUCUCCCAUGAUCUUGGACUGCAGGUUAAGAACCUCUGCUGUAUACCCAUGGCAGAAAGAAAAUAUUUAUGACUUGUCUGUGUGUGUGUAUGUUUGUCUCAUUGACAAAUAGGAGCCAAGAAACUUGCCAUUGUUCAAUAUUUCUUCAAUUAUCUUUGCUUUUUCUUUUCAUUCAGUUACUAAUGGAAAAAUAAACUAAUUCUGGACAAUUCUUUAUCCAAAGUCUAUAUUAUGAGAUUCUCAUUCUGCUCAACAUGAUACACUAAGAUGUUCAGAGACACACGACAGAUCCUUCUGUAUGUUUUCAAAUUUCAACAUAUCAUCCUAAUUUUAAUAUUGAUUAAACAAUGGGAAUACUGUAGUGUCAGGAGCUUAUAUUCAAUUUAGCUUAAUAAAAUGUAUGUAUUAUACUGUG